rnacentral:lncRNA from 1 species
AGCACAGUCACAAUCUUCCACAGUUUCCAAAAAAAUAUUCUCUCUUACGAGUAGGUCUUGUGUACUAAUAGGAGCACGGAGAUCUCCUUACUCCUAAGCCGUUUUCGAUAAUAGGACUUUCGAAUCAAUAAUUGGCUCCGUUAGACUUGAUCUAACAUAUUUGAAGUAUCUAAAAAAUAAAUUUUGUAAUUUUUUGAUAUUAUUUAUCUUACGAACGAAAGGUUUAAAUAUCAACAAAUUUUUUUUUUGAGAGAAAGAUGGCAUGCUACCGCUUCAUUUAAUAAGAAGAUGAAUUUAGCAACAGAGUGAAGUAUUGUGGCUUCGCAGAAAAAAAAAAACAACUAAACACAAUAAAAAUCUCACAUAUUCCUAAGUGUGCGUAAGUCCACCAGCAACUGUCUGAGCAAUAACUUCUUACUGUAAAAAAUUCUUUUACUCCGUUGCAACCGUAAAGCCCACCAAGUAGAGGAGAUGAUCGUUGGCUUUUUUCUCCCUACUAUGCCCCACUUACAGCUUGCUAACCUUC